GAGGGAAACCGAGUCUUAAUUGGGCGUUAAGUUGCAGGGUAUAGACCCGAAACCCGGUGAUCUAGCCAUGGGCAGGUUGAAGGUUGGGUAACACUAACUGGAGGACCGAACCGACUAAUGUUGAAAAAUUAGCGGAUGACCUGUGGCUGGGGGUGAAAGGCCAAUCAAACCGGGAGAUAGCUGGUUCUCCCCGAAAGCUAUUUAGGUAGCGCCUCGUGAAUUCAUCUCCGGGGGUAGAGCACUGUUUCGGCUAGGGGGCCAUCCCGGCUUACCAACCCGAUGCAAACUGCGAAUACCGGAGAAUGUUAUCACGGGAGACACACGGCGGGUGCUAACGUCCGUCGUGAAGAGGGAAACAACCCAGACCGCCAGCUAAGGUCCCAAAGUCAUGGUUAAGUGGGAAACGAUGUGGGAAGGCCCAGACAGCCAGGAUGUUGGCUUAGAAGCAGCCAUCAUUUAAAGAAAGCGUAAUAGCUCACUGGUCGAGUCGGCCUGCGCGGAAGAUGUAACGGGGCUAAACCAUGCACCGAAGCUGCGGCAGCGACACUGUGUGUUGUUGGGUAGGGGAGCGUUCUGUAAGCCUGCGAAGGUGGCCUGUGAGGGUUGCUGGAGGUAUCAGAAGUGCGAAUGCUGACAUAAGUAACGAUAAAGCGGGUGAAAAGCCCGCUCGCCGGAAGACCAAGGGUUCCUGUCCAACGUUAAUCGGGGCAGGGUGAGUCGACCCCUAAGGCGAGGCCGAAAGGCGUAGUCGAUGGGAAACGGGUUAAUAUUCCCGUACUUGGUGUUACUGCGAAGGGGGGACGGAGAAGGCUAUGUUGGCCGGGCGACGGUUGUCCCGGUUUAAGCGUGUAGGUGUGUGUUCCAGGUAAAUCCGGUUCACUUUAACACUGAGGCGUGACGACGAGGCACUACGGUGCUGAAGCAACAAAUGCCCUGCUUCCAGGAAAAGCCUCUAAGCAUCAGGUAACAUCAAAUCGUACCCCAAACCGACACAGGUGGUCAGGUAGAGAAUACCAAGGCGCUUGAGAGAACUCGGGUGAAGGAACUAGGCAAAAUGGUGCCGUAACUUCGGGAGAAGGCACGCUGACACGUAGGUGAAGUGAUUUACUCAUGGAGCUGAAGUCAGUCGAAGAUACCAGCUGGCUGCAACUGUUUAUUAAAAACACAGCACUGUGCAAACACGAAAGUGGACGUAUACGGUGUGACGCCUGCCCGGUGCCGGAAGGUUAAUUGAUGGGGUCAGCGCAAGCGAAGCUCCUGAUCGAAGCCCCGGUAAACGGCGGCCGUAACUAUAACGGUCCUAAGGUAGCGAAAUUCCUUGUCGGGUAAGUUCCGACCUGCACGAAUGGCGUAAUGAUGGCCAGGCUGUCUCCACCCGAGACUCAGUGAAAUUGAACUCGCUGUGAAGAUGCAGUGUACCCGCGGCAAGACGGAAAGACCCCGUGAACCUUUACUAUAGCUUGACACUGAACAUUGAGCCUUGAUGUGUAGGAUAGGUGGGAGGCUUUGAAGUGUGGACGCCAGUCUGCAUGGAGCCGACCUUGAAAUACCACCCUUUAAUGUUUGAUGUUCUAACGUGGACCCGUUACCCGGGUUGCGGACAGUGUCUGGUGGGUAGUUUGACUGGGGCGGUCUCCUCCUAAAGAGUAACGGAGGAGCACGAAGGUUGGCUAAUCCUGGUCGGACAUCAGGAGGUUAGUGCAAUGGCAUAAGCCAGCUUGACUGCGAGCGUGACGGCGCGAGCAGGUGCGAAAGCAGGUCAUAGUGAUCCGGUGGUUCUGAAUGGAAGGGCCAUCGCUCAACGGAUAAAAGGUACUCCGGGGAUAACAGGCUGAUACCGCCCAAGAGUUCAUAUCGACGGCGGUGUUUGGCACCUCGAUGUCGGCUCAUCACAUCCUGGGGCUGAAGUAGGUCCCAAGGGUAUGGCUGUUCGCCAUUUAAAGUGGUACGCGAGCUGGGUUUAGAACGUCGUGAGACAGUUCGGUCCCUAUCUGCCGUGGGCGCUGGAGAACUGAGGGGGGCUGCUCCUAGUACGAGAGGACCGGAGUGGACGCAUCACUGGUGUUCGGGUUGUCAUGCCAAUGGCACUGCCCGGUAGCUAAAUGCGGAAGAGAUAAGUGCUGAAAGCAUCUAAGCACGAAACUUGCCCCGAG
rnacentral:rRNA from 1 species